rnacentral:rRNA from 1 species
UACGUAGGGUGCGAGCGUUAAUCGGAAUUACUGGGCGUAAAGUGUGCGCAGGCGGCCGAGCAAGUCGAGUGUGAAAGCCCCGAGCUUAACUUGGGAAUUGCGCUCGAAACUACUUGGCUGGAGUGUGGCAGAGGAAGGUGGAAUUCCAGGUGUAGCGGUGAAAUGCGUAGAGAUCUGGAGGAACACCGAUGGCGAAGGCGGAUCUCUGGGCCUUACCUGACGCUGAGGAGCGAAAGCAUGGGGAGCAAACAGGG